UACGGGGGGAGCAAGCGUUGUUCGGAUUUACUGGGCGUAAAGGGCGCGUAGGCGGCCACCGCAAGUCAGUUGUGAAAUCUCUGGGCUUAACCCAGAAAGGUCAACUGAUACUGCGGGGCUAGAGUGCAGAAGGGGCAACUGGAAUUCUCGGUGUAGCGGUGAAAUGCGUAGAUAUCGAGAGGAACACCUGCGGCGAAGGCGGGUUGCUGGGCUGACACUGACGCUGAGGCGCGAAAGCUAGGGGAGCGAA
rnacentral:rRNA from 1 species